GUGUUCAAAACCCGGGCCUGGACGGUUGUGGAGAUGGUGGACGCCGACGCGCGCGCCCCGCCUCCCGACAGUGCCCAGCGCGGAGCCUGGAGCCGAGGCCGUCACAGCGUGGCCGGGGCGUCCUGGAGGGACCCCCACCGACCCAAGCCUGGCGACGACCAUGUCAGCGUCUCCCGUCGGCGGCUUUGAAGUCCCGGGAGCCGCCGGAGAGCCGAGGCCGCGCCAUUGGAACCCGGGAGCAUUUGGCUACCUCGGGCGCCCUCUGCUGGAUGGAGCUCCAGCUGCCUCUGCUUAGAAAUCUUCAUUCUCUAUCCAGAAAGAAUUUGUCAGAAUGAGAGCCAUGAAGAAUUCUAGCAUCUCUCUGACACUCAAGUGCCCUAUGUGCUCCUUCGCUGGAACCCUUGCUCUGGCAACAACACCAAAACAGGACCAUUCUCACCGUAUUCUGGCAUCAAGGAGUGGACUAUCAUAAGGGUUUAAGACCAUGAAACCAGAGUGCCUCUGGCUUCUACCCAAUGAACAAGGGCAGUAGCCUCUCCAAGCUGGCAUCUUCUUCUCUCUGAUGAGAGGCCCUGGGCUGCAGAGAUUCCCCGCUGGAAGACAUCAUCCUGUGCUGACAGAAUGGCAGGAGAGCUCCGAUCUCCUCGUUAUCCAGAUGUGCUUAGGAAAGCCAACAGCUGGAAAGGACAUGUUUGCCCACAGAAAAAACAAUGAAUGAGAUUGGCAACGCCAAUUCUGUCAUUCAUGGGAGCAAAACACGACAUCGUUACACUCAAGAUUUUAUCCAUCUGAAACAGGAUUGUGUUUUCUGUGGUGUGAAAUGUUCCUGAAGGGUUCUCAGAGUUGUGGGCUGGAAUCUUCCUGUCCAGUUACAGAAUAAUGACCCAGAACAGAUAACGAAUUUCAGAGGAUGGAGAAGCAAGUGCAACAGAAUGCCGGCGGGGGGCUCUUGUGAGAGUGAAUUGAGCCUUGACAAGUGAUGCUCCUGGACUCGCCAUGGGAUUACGUGCCAGUACACACAUCGUAAAUUGAAAAGUGCCAUAAAUUAAAAUGCACUAAGUGCUCCUACCCUGUCAGACAUCCUAGCUUCGCAGCACAGCACGCUGGAGAGCGUCAUGGACACCAGGCCGACUGGAAGCUGUGCGCUCUGCCGCUGCCCAGCAUCCCCAGAGACAAUGGUGCUGCGUUCUGCUAGCAAAGACCCCGAUUCAAAGCCCAAAAGUGGGAAGAAGGCGGUGGGAGUGACUUCUGCACAAACAACAGCUGAGAGGAGCCCUAAGCCGGGCAGUCUCUGGGAGGAGCAGCUGCAGAAAACACUGGGAAGAACCCCCGCGCUGGAAUCCAACAGACCUCAUUCAGAUGCAGGAGGUGCCCCCUCUCCACUCGUGGGCUCUUGAGCAGGGCACUCGAUCUCCCUCAACACUCAUUUCCUCAUCUGCAAAAUGAGGAUUCUCACUGGAAGAAGACUAUAGAACUCAAGGUAAUCAAAACAAGUUCAAAGGCCAGACAACAGAAGAAUUUAUUGGCUUCAACGUCAUGAUCAUUAAACAACAGUCUUCAAACACUACUGGCAUUUAUUCCACUUGACGAUGGAAGCUUCAUGAACUCUUCACAAAGAUGAAGGGGAACUGUGUAUGUUACUGCAACAUUUGGGUAUCAAGAGUCUAAAUAUGGGCAAGAGAAAUCAGGCUAAGCUAUUAUUGCCAGAAUGAACCUACAUGCCAGAACUUGAGAAAUGGAAAGAAUGAAAUGGCAUUAGAAUUCUCUCUCAUUUGUAGAAACGUCUUAGAUACAAGCCAAUUUAAUACCUACCAUGCAAAUAGCAAUGACUUGUCCAAGGAAAUAUUGAAAUCUAUUAAGGCUGCAUGUGCAUAAUCCGAUUCAACAAGUCAGGAUAUUUUUCUCAAAAACAUAAUAUCUUUUUGGCAUUGUGUGAGAUGAAGGUUAGAUUACAUUUCUUGCCUGCGCAAUAAUUCCCACAUCAUAAAUUCUGAUGAAAUUAUAUCAAUAUAUAAAGCAAAUGGAUGUCUGACCCACCAUCGUUUUCUAGUUCUCAAAGAGAGGCUGACAUGGCAGCAAAUCCCCAGCUGCUCAGAGCAAUGCUAUUACAGCCUGCUUUUGCCUGGGAACUGUUAUUAACUAUCUUGACCAGGAGCGGCUGUUAGAGUUUGUGGUUUCUGCUCUGAAUAUUAAACUUGGGCAUACAAGAGUCCUUAUUGUGGGGAGCACUUGGAAAUGGUAAUGCAAAAUUGCUUUAUAUUUGCGGGAUUUGAUUGCUGUAGAUGAUACAGCGCUAGCUGGUGGGCCUCUCUUGCUGCUUGCAUUUCCAGAUUAUAAAUCAUUCCUUCGACAGGGUAUCUGCCACAACCCGGUCUCAGUUUCCAUGGUAUCAUUUUUUAUAUUAUAACUGGCAAGUGCUCUUCUGGACCGUUCAUAUAAAUGACACAUUUCACAUAAUUUAUGAGAAUGGGGUUGAAAUCAAAGCCAAUAAGGGCCUCCCCAAGUUUUCUUGGACAUGUCAAGGCAUCUCAGGCUUGGUGUUUUGGGGAGAGUGGGUCACAGACAUAAAUGUCAGAUUUCUGAAUGGCAUUCAUAGGAACUGUGUUGAUCAAUAGCAAAUUCAGUACUGCAAAGCUCCAUUCACAAUUAGUCAGUCAGUAACAGUCAACUUUCAAGAGCAAAAUGUGUCUGUGUGGCUGCAUUUGAUGGAUCACAUGUACAGAAGGUGGCUAGAAGAAGGCACCUUUAUUUUCUCCUUCUGAAAAUAAGGCAUUGGAUGAGGUGGUUUGCAGAGACCCUUCCGGUUUUGGUGCAUUGGUAGCUCCAAAAUUCACUGUUGAAAUUAAAAGACAACAAGACAGAUGAUGGUGUUGAGUGUAUGCUGUGUCCUUGUCGCAAACCUCAAGAUUAGAUUUAGACCUGAGAUAUAAUUUUUUUUUUCAUUUAUUUAUUUUCAACUUAUUUGAAAGGUAGAGGGACAGAGAGAGAUCUUGCA